GUCUGAGACGGCGCAGUCAGUAGAGCAUGAGACUCUUAAUCUCAAGGUCAUGAGCUCAAGCCCCAAGUUGGGCA